CGAGGGUGCAAACGUUGCUCGGAUUUACUGGGCGUAAAGCGCGUGUAGGCGGACUCGCAAGUCGGUUGUGAAAUCCCUGGGCUCAACCUAGGAACUGCAUCCGAAACUGCUUGUCUUGAGUAAUGGAGAGGGUGGCGGAAUUCCCGGUGUAGAGGUGAAAUUCGUAGAUAUCGGGAGGAACAUCAGUGGCGAAGGCGGCCACCUGGACAUUUACUGACGCUGAGACGCGAAAGCGUGGGGAGCGAACGGGAUUAGAUACCCCAGUAGUCC
rnacentral:rRNA from 1 species